rnacentral:rRNA from 1 species
GUGAGGAAUAUUGGUCAAUGGGCGGGAGCCUGAACCAGCCAAGUCGCGUGAAGGAAGAAGGAUCUAUGGUUCGUAAACUUCUUUUGCAGGGGAAUAAAGUGCAGGACGUGUCCUGUUUUGUAUGUACCCUGAGAAUAAGGAUCGGCUAACUCCGUGCCAGCAGCCGCGGUAAUACGGAGGAUCCGAGCGUUAUCCGGAUUUAUUGGGUUUAAAGGGUGCGUAGGUGGUUUGAUAAGUCAGCGGUGAAAGUUUGCAGCUUAACUGUAAAAAUGCCGUUGAAACUGUCGAACUUGAGUGUAAAUGAGGUAGGCGGAAUGCGUGGUGUAGCGGUGAAAUGCAUAGAUAUCACGCAGAACUCCGAUUGCGAAGGCAGCUUACUAAUCUACAACUGUCACUGGAGCACGAAAGCGUGGGGAUCAAACAGGAUUAGAAACCCUGGUAGUCC